rnacentral:lncRNA from 1 species
GAUUCCAAAAGUUAUAGUCUCCGAUAACUCCAAGCAAUUCGACAAUGAUGGGUUCAAGCUAUUUUGUUUAGACCUCUCUAUUUUUAACCAUUUCUCUUUACCAGGUCAUCUUCAGGAAAGUGGUCAAGUUGAAAUUACCAACAGAACAGUCCUAAAAAUUUUAAAGGUAAGGUUACCUUUCGAGUGUACUAUGGGCCUACCAGACAAUGAGCAAAAUCUCUACGGGCGCUAUGCCAUACUCCAUGGUGUAUGGGAGAGAAUCAAUCAUCUCGGUAGAAAUAGGAAUGCUGAGCUUCAGGACACUAAAUAUGGACAAGGAAACCAACGAAGUAGAGUUAAGGCUUAACCUUGAUCUCUUUGACGAAAGGAGGGAGCAAGCUAAGGUGCGCCUACAAGCUUCAAAUCGCCAAGUACUAUAAUCAGAGGGUUAAGCACAGGUUAUUUUUGACUGGCAAAUUGGUCUUAAGGAAAGUCACUUUGUUUACUAAGGAGAUUAACACUAGGAAGCUUGGCCCUAAGUGGGAAGGUCCCUACAAAGUGGUCAAGGUGUCCAAACCAGGAACUUAUUGGCUAGAGGAUAUGAAAGGGAAAACAUUGCCUCAUCCUUGGAAUGUUGAACACUUGAAAAAGUAUUACCAGUAGUCCAUUUGGUCAACAUGAGAAAAAGGUCGCCCAAGCAACGUAAUGUCGCAAAGAUCAUGUUAUUGUAAAGAACUACUGAUUAUGAUCGUCAAAAUCCUAUGUAACUAUGGUUGCCUUAAUAAAAUCACAAUUUUAUAGUUCAAUAUCGUUAUAUCGCUAGUCACCAAUAUUUGCCUAAGUGAAUUAUGUCACUAAUUUCAAAUUUUAAUCGCCAUGAUGUCACCAGUUUCGCCAUAUAAACCGAUUAAAACAAACUUAUUGUUAUCGCUAAUGUCAAGAUUGCCUAAUUGCUUCUUCUUGUGCAAUUUGCAAAUGAUUCGCCAAGGCAUCUUGAUCACCAAAACGAGUCGCCUGAUUAUUCAAGUUGCAAUGGUAAGGUCUGAUGUUUGCCUGAGUUAAGUUAACUUAAACCUGUUCACCAUAAUUAAGUUUGUUAUUACGUUUACCUGAUUAAGGUGAAUUAAACUUAAUAUGUUCACAUGAUGAUUCUACUCACCAAUUUAUUAAGUGGUACUCGCCUAAGUAUAUCUCGCCAAUAUCAUAGAUCACGAUGUCGCCAAUAGAAGUAGAUAUUAGAGAAGAAACACAUAAGUAUAAAGAAAUAGUUAAUUUUAUUGAUAUCGCCAUUACAUUACAAAAAAAAGAGGAAGUACAACGAAAUGACUAUUAAGGUGGAGAGUUGUUAUUAAUCUCACCCUUCUCUUCUUCGUCCUCUUCAUCCUCCUCUUCCUCUAGAUCAGCGUCAAUCCCUAUGUCUUAGAUAUCGAGGUCUGGAUGGAGGCAUCCAAUCUGCUUCUUGGAUAAGUCAAAACCCUCGCCAAAGUAUCUGAAAGCUGCUAGCUCAACAACUUCGUGGAAGUCAUCCGAGGACUUGUAUUCCUCGAUGACUGACUCCUUGGCGACGACUGACUACUUCUUUAGCUCAGCUAUCUCCUUUUCGAGCCUAGCCAUGGUGGCAUCGUUAUCCUCCUUCAUUCUCUUCAACUCUUCAACUUUCCAAUGGCAUGCCGCUUCUAGGCCCUGAGAUCGACCACUUGUUUCUCCAACUUUGCGGCCACUUGCUGAGCACGGGUCAUCUCGAUUUUGACCAAGGCAGCACGGGCCUGUUGGGUCAUCGCUUCUUCUCUCAUUUGCCUACCACGUCUGAUGAGGGAAGACUCGAGCACCACCGCCUAAAAAAGAAAGAGUGAAUUCUUCAGAGAAAUGAAAAUGCAAAAGUAUUAAACUUAAAUAUAAAAAUAAAUAAUUACCUGACCGACAACAUGGAAGAACUGUGAGAUUGCUCGAUUGAGGUCCAAUCUCCCCACCUCAUCCUUGUCGGCAAGCGAGAUUACCCCCUUAAAGAGUUUCUCCUCCACGACGGGAGGGAUUCCCCAGCAUGGAGACCUUGAUCCCCAAAACAACGCCAGGGUGGCCAUGGUUCCCUCCCCAGGAGCUACAAUAGGUAAAGCCCCCUUGCUCGUCGCCUUGCUUGAUGAUGCCCUAGGCUUGGCUAAGGCCUUGGUAGAGGACCCCUUUUUUUGUCCUCUAUUAGCGGCAUAACCCCCUUCUUUUUAGAGUUAGCUGAUGAUUUGCCCUUCUUCAAGGGCAAGAUGUUGGGCUUCUCGUCCUUUGGGCGUUUCUCGCCAAUGACGAUCUCCUUUGAUGCUGGGGUCGUGCUCUUCGGCUUUGCUCCUUACGCCCUUUGGGCAAGCUUCUUGAGGCUGAUUCUUUUUGAUAUAGCUGCAAAAGAAAACUAAUGUCAGUUAAUGGAAAAGGUAAAAUACUUGAAGAAGAAAGAAGGCAGUACCAUCUGAUUUGAGCUCGGGGGCAACCAUGGUUCUAACCAGGCCUCCGACUAGAGCUCGAGCUUGAGCUUGAGCUACUUGGUUCCCAACUAAGGAAAGAGGGUCGAAGAUUUGCCCCAAGAAGUGUUAGCAGUAUCCUAUCAGGAAGACACGAUAAAACUCUUAUAUGCCUCUUCCUGAUGAUCCCUAGGUAUUCUACUGAGUCAUCUCGGGAAUUGUCACCUUGGCGAGGAUUGUCUCGGGAAUGAUGGGACUCACCCUCAUCGCCCGUAACUAGAGCUGCAUUGCCUACCUUUAUAUCCUCGGCACUGUCCAUGCCACUGGACGCCAUUGAUUUGGAGGCGAGUCCGAAGCUCCUAAGGAAGGACUUAGUGUCGAGAACUUCCUUGAUUGUAAAGAAGUCCCCUCCAUUAGUGAGUCCAAGAUCCCACUUAUUAGUCAGUCCUAGACAAGACAAGCGGUUUGUUGUCGCGCUUACCUAAAAAUGGUAGAACACUUAUUAGUCAAGGGAAAAGUGCGACACUUGAUAACUAAAAGAACGACUUAAUGGAUAAAGAUUGACCUGGGGUGCCCUACAACCUCGAGAUCCUUGGACCCCCAGCGUACCUAGAGAUCCCCGGGGAGAACUCCCAGUCCUCUCCUGAGAUGAAAAAGAUUUUCUUCUUCCAUCCCUUGACAUUUCUAGGGUACCCCCGAGUAGAGCCAUCUAGAGUCUAGCUUCGGGGUUUUAUACAGGCUGAACAGGCUCUUGAACUCGUUGAGGAAAAGGGCGAAGUUAUGAGCUUGCCAUAGUACCAUCAUGUAGAUGACACUUUGCCACGCAUUGGGAAUGAGCUCGGCAAGGCAGAUGUUAUAGAAGUACAAGAUCUUCCUAAUAGUGGGAUGGAUUGGAAGACAAAGACUGGCUUGAAAAGUGGCCUCAUAAAAGGCCAUCCCGCCCAGGUGAGUAGACUCUAUGGUCUCGUCCACCUCGAGUAACCUGAUGUGAAUGCCUAACGGAAUGGAACAUGACUCUAAGGCGAUGCAGCUCGUCUUGAGUCAUGGUAUUAGUUUCUCUCUCAAUUUGAGGUGGAGUAACAGGUGAGGGACUACCCUCAGGACUAGGGUUCCUCCCUAGGGGAGGAAGGAAGUGUAUUAACCUCGUCGGUCAUAUAUGACUUUUCUCCUAGGUGAUCGAAAAUCUAGGAGGGUAGAAAGUUUUCUAAAUUUUCUACGUCGCCGUUACCGGACAUAAAAUACAGACUAAAGAUUAAAAGUGGAUGGCUAAUACUUACUGAAUGACUUAGAUGAUGGCGAGAUGGCAAGCUGACAAGGGCGAGGUUCACGUUGGAGCGAAAGCAACACUUCAUUAUCACUGGCAAUAGAAGAGUACGCUGUGUGGUAGAACCCAUAUUUUAUAGAGGGCACCAAGGGCUGAGAUCUAUUUGUUUCAAAGGAUAGGAUCGCGCGGCUCUUUGAAUUCUGAGGUAAUAACCGUCGUCUGAAGGUGAAAUACACUUCGCCAUAAAUGCAUUGUCACAUGUCUCCCAGCUAGGGAAUGCCAUCAUUACAUGCUUGCAUCAUCCAUCUACACCCCAUAACUCAUUGUUCGAUGAUGCCGAGUGCGUCACCUCGGCACAUCGAGUAGGAGUAACUAAUGAAAGGAAAAUUCUCCACCUGUUGAUAGCCCGAGAUGGGCACGUUGCCCAGUAGGAUCAUGUUGUCAACGUCUCUCAUGAUCGAGAUUGGACUCGCCUAAACUCUAUGACCAACCUGACUGCUUUUUGAAUGUCACCUCGUCAAAGACCAAGGUGGACAAGAUCGCCCACUACUCUAAGGAUAAGAUCAACGCGAGAUUCCACCACCUCCUGGACUCCUGCAUUUACGGUACUAUCUUCGUAUGUGAUUCUCCUCAUUUUUCUUCGAUAUCCUCGGGAUCGGCUUCCAUACUUAGCAACCCGAUGAUUUCACUGUGAUCUUCUCGCACGGCACUCCAUUCUCCAUCUAUAAAAGACUGCUCCCCCUCCACCAUAGGGAGGUAUGAAAAACUGCUCUCUCAAUCUUUGAGCUUUAAACACUUUUACUGGUUGUGCUGUCUAGUUUGCUCGCCUUAAUCUGAUCUCCAUGCCAGAGGGUUUGUAGCGGCCUAACCCUAGCCGGUAACGUUUGUUCUAUUACGCAAGUCACCGAGGUCAAAUACCGAGCUUAAAAAGUAAUUCUAACGGUUGGUUGCUCAUUUCAGAUUUUUAACACAACAUUUACAAUUUUUUUCUUACUCACAUCAUAGUCCUUUUGUGACCUAUGCUUUUUUAACAUGCAUCCCUUUUUUUCUUUUCCUUGUUUGGUGACAAUUUAGUCUAUCAUGGUUAUAGUAAGUUUAUCUUGUGCAAACAAAACGCAAAUUUGGGAAGAAAAAAAUGGUAGUUGUAGAUUAAUCCUAAAAAAAGAUUGGAGCGGUGGUGAAUCUACUACUAUCCACAAAACAUAGAUUUCUCUGUGUAGAAUCCAAAACUCAUAUACUCAAAAUGACUCAAAGAUCAUGGAUCUCCUAUAGAUUCAAGACAUUAGGUAAAAAGAAUGGUUAAUUGACCU